rnacentral:rRNA from 1 species
AACGAACGCUGGCGGCGUGGAUUAGGCAUGCAAGUCGAACGAUCCGCUGAAACCCGCAAGGGUGUAAGUGGAUAGUGGCGCAAGGGUGAGUAACACGUGGGUAAUUUGCCUUCGAACUUGGGAUAACCUGCCGAAAGGCGGGUUAAUACCGGAUAAGACUACAGUUCGCAUGGACAGUAGUAAAAGGCGGCCUCUUUUUUAAUGCUGUCGUUUGAAGAGAAGCCCGCGUUCUAUUAGCUAGUUGGCGGGGUAACGGCCCACCAAGGUGAUGAUGGAUAGCUGGUCUGAGAGGAUGGUCAGCCACACUGGGACUGAGACACUGCCCAGACUCCUACGGGAGGCUGCAGUCGAGAAUCUUUCGCAAUGGGGGAAACCCUGACGAAGCGACGCCGCGUGAGCGAUGAAGGUCUUCGGAUUGUAAAGCUCUGUCACUUGGGACGAAAUUUAAUUCUGUUAAUACCAGGAUUAAUUGACGGUACCGAGAGAGGAAGCCACGGCUAACUCCGUGCCAGCAGCCGCGGUAAUACGGAGGUGGCUAGCGUUGUUCGGAUUUAUUGGGCGUAAAGAGUGUGUAGGCGUUUUGUCAGGUCGUAUGUGAAAUCCUUUGGCUCAACCAAAGAACUGCAUGCGAAACCGACAGAAUUGAGUACAAGAGAGGAGAACGGAAUUCCCGGUGUAGAGGUGAAAUUCGUAGAUAUCGGGAAGAACACCGGUGGCGAAGGCGGUUCUCUGGGUUGAUACUGACGCUGAGACACGAAAGCUAGGGGAGCAAACAGGAUUAGAUACCCUGGUAGUCCUAGCCGUAAACGAUGGGCACUAGGUGUAGGUCCUUUGGGAUCUGUGCCGCAGUUAACGCAUUAAGUGCCCCGCCUGGGGAGUACGAUCGCAAGAUUGAAACUCAAAGGAAUUGACGGGGACCCGCACAAAUGGUGGAGCAUGUGGUUUAAUUCGACGAUACGCGAGGAACCUUACCAGGGCUUGACAUGUAUAUGAAAAUCCGUUGAAAGAUGGAUCCUCCUUCGGGACAUAUACACAGGUGCUGCAUGGCUGUCGUCAGCUCGUGCCGUGAGGUGUUAGGUUAAGUCCUGCAACGAGCGCAACCCCUGUUCUUAGUUGCUAAGUUCUUUGAACUGCACUCUAAGAAGACUGCCACAGAUAAUGUGGAGGAAGGCGGGGAUGACGUCAAGUCAGUAUGGCCCUUAUGUCCUGGGCGACACACGUGCUACAAUGGUCUGUACAAAGGGUUGCCAAACCGCAAGGUGGAGCUAAUCCCAAAAAGCAGGCCUCAGUUCGGAUUGAAGGCUGCAAUUCGCCUUCAUGAAGCUGGAAUCAUUAGUAACCCCAUAUCAGCCAUGAUGGGGUGAAUACGUUCCCGGGUCUUGUACACACCGCCCGUCAAGUCAACCGAGUCAAAUGUACCCGAAGUUACUGACUUAAUCCGCCCUCGGGCGGAAGGGAAGGUUUCGAAGGUAUGUUUGGUAAGCGGGACU